UUAAGAAAUGCAGUGCAGUGGGCUGAAUACUAUAAUUCUAACAGGGGAAAACUGGCACUAAAAUCAGUGAGAAUUUUGUCUAUGUGAGGAUUAUAAGAUUGGUUAGUACUUAAAGAGUAACUUUUCUUCUUCCAUGAAGAUCCUCACUGAUGGGUUCCUAUGCUUUACCAGCUUCUCUUCUUUACCUCAGUCAGAUUACAGUGGAGGAUGGCAUGCUCUGAGUGCAGCUGCCAAUCUGUGGCCCAUGGCUGUGUCUCUUGUACUUAAACGUCAUGACCAUUGAGACAAGUGAACAUGUCAGAAAUCAGCCUUUGGAUGAGGAAGACUGGGUCCCAGCUGAAUCAAGCAGCACAGAUGCAGAGAUCAUGGUACCAAAAGGUGGCACAACUCAAAGCCCAGGACAGAGUAUAUACAGGCUUUGGACAAAGAAAUCCCUUUGCUAGAGCAGUAACAGACAGACGUGCAGAUUGUGUGCUUAUGCCAAACAGUAUUCAAGGGUCCAUGCUGUCUGGAAAACUGCACUCACAUUGAAGCCAUAUUGUUCCCUCCCUGAACCACAAGCUGGAUUCCCCAGCUGAUGAGCUGCUUUGCUCCAGGCUUACACAGGUCUGUGAUACA
rnacentral:lncRNA from 1 species